rnacentral:rRNA from 1 species
CUUCGGGUGAGCGGCGGACGGGUUAGUAACGCGUGGGAACGUGCCCAGAUCUGCGGAAUAGCCACUGGAAACGGUGAGUAAUACCGCAUACGCCCUUCGGGGGAAAGAUUUAUCGGAUUUGGAUCGGCCCGCGUUAGAUUAGGUAGUUGGUGGGGUAAUGGCCUACCAAGCCUACGAUCUAUAGCUGGUUUUAGAGGAUGAUCAGCAACACUGGGACUGAGACACGGCCCAGACUCCUACGGGAGGCAGCAGUGGGGAAUAUUGGACAAUGGGCGAAAGCCUGAUCCAGCAAUGCCGCGUGUGUGAAGAAGGCCUGCGGGUUGUAAAGCACUUUCAGUUGGGAAGAUGAUGACGUUACCAACAGAAGAAGCACCGGCUAAAUCCGUGCCAGCAGCCGCGGUAAUACGGAUGGUGCGAGCGUUAAUCGGAAUUACUGGGCGUAAAGCGCGCGUAGGCGGCUAAGUCAGUCAGAAGUGAAAGCCCCGGGCUCAACCUGGGAAUUGCUUUUGAUACUGCUUAGCUAGAGUUUGGUAGAGGAUAGUGGAAUUC